UACGAAGGGGGCUAGCGUUGCUCGGAAUUACUGGGCGUAAAGCGCACGUAGGCGGAUUGUUAAGUCGGGGGUGAAAUCCUGGAGCUCAACUCCAGAACUGCCUUCGAUACUGGCGAUCUCGAGUCCGGGAGAGGUGAGUGGAACUGCGAGUGUAGAGGUGAAAUUCGUAGAUAUUCGCAAGAACACCAGUGGCGAAGGCGGCUCACUGGCCCGGUACUGACGCUGAGGCGCGAAAGCGUGGGGAGCGAACAGG
rnacentral:rRNA from 1 species